UUUACAUCUAAAGUUAUACAGACAAGGGUAUUGAGAUGAUUUAAUUGUUACUUUAAAUAUAGCACAUGUAUGGAAAUCAGUUAGUGUAAUAAUUAGUCUAAGGUCAUGCAAUAUGUAUAGAGUCUGUAUUUGAUAUUUUUAUUUUGAUAUAGUACAUCUUACAUGUACGAUACAACACUAUUCAGAAGGGAAGUGCCCAUAGCUGUUAGUCACCACGUUUGCACCUUACUUAGGGGAACACUGUACAUAUACUUCAUCACCAUGGAAUAAAGAACUACAACACAAUUUGGAGGUGUUACAUAUCUAUGGAAGCCGCGGUAGGACACGCGAUCAAUUUUUACACAAGAGCUAAGAUUGGAGAGGAACAUUGAGGACAUCGUGAGUUCCACUGGAUUUGCCUUGGACGACUCGGACAACGCCCUCUUAGCAAAGAAACUUUGCGAAUUUCUUAUAAAGUCAAUAUCGGUCUGCAUUUUUGCGUUCUGGUGGAGCUACUACCGCAGCGAACUCUAACGUUAAUGACAGAAUUUGAAAAAAAGCACGGACGUCAGAUUUCAGAUUCAUCAAAAGACAGUUAUGUCAAAGACAGUAUUGAAAAUCAGAUGUCAUUUUCAAAAAAUCUUGUGACAUCAAUGGUUAAUAUUUUCCUGUUUGUGGGAAAAUUAUUCAUUUUGCUUUUCAUAUCUAACUUUUGGACGACUAAAAUUGUAAGCUCACCUGGAUUACGGCUAUAUGGUAGUUAUUUUGUGUAGAUUUAAAAGUGAGGGGUGUAAGGAGUAAAAAUUAUACUAGAUUUUCCCCUCAUUCCGUAGAAUACUGGGAAAAUAUUGUAUGAUAGAAACGUAUUAAAGCGCCAAAAAAGUAGGCGAGGCCAUAGAAAGGCCAAUAAAAUUCUAGUGAAUUCGAGUAAUAGUCUUGUGUUUGGUUAUUCUAAGCCAACGCUUCACACGAGGCGCUCGAGCUUUAUUUUUUAAAUAUCAAAGUUUAGCUCACAUUACUAUCAUUAUUCAAUGUUUACUACGGUAGUUCCGCUUAAAUGCUCGUCCGGCAUUGCCCUAAAGAUGUUAUUUACACUUGCACGGACAGAGGUUUCCAUAGUUAACCAUCUAUGGUUUUUCCUGGGCGGUUUUUAAUGUCAGUGAUGGGGUUAACAAUUUAAACACUUAAUACAAAGCAGAACUUCAUAUUUUCGUUUCAAAUAUUUUCGUAAUACUGUAUAUGUUGGCGUCGUUCAUAAAAAAUAUGGCAUUGUAUGUAUAUAUGUGCAUUUGUAUGGCGUUACAUAAUAAACGCCGGCUGCUCCAACAAGCUCGCCUGGGUUACGAUGA